rnacentral:rRNA from 1 species
CAGCCGCCGCGGUAAUACGUAGGGUGCAAGCGUUGUCCGGAAUUAUUGGGCGUAAAGAGCUCGUAGGCGGUUUGUCGCGUCUGCUGUGAAAUCCCGAGGCUCAACCUCGGGCUUGCAGUGGGUACGGGCAGACUAGAGUGCGGUAGGGGAGAUUGGAAUUCCUGGUGUAGCGGUGGAAUGCGCAGAUAUCAGGAGGAACACCGAUGGCGAAGGCAGAUCUCUGGGCCGUAACUGACGCUGAGGAGCGAAAGCGUGGGGAGCGAACAGGAUUAGAUACCCCCGUAGUCCCUGUCUCUUAUAC